GGGAAACCAAGAUGAAUCGACGGCACUAGAUCGCGCUCUCCAGACACCGCCGUGGGCACGUCCCGGGAACUGAGAAAGCCAGCAGCAAUGCAGUAUUGCAGCCUACCUGUAAAAUGUUGAUUCAAUGUUGAGACUGAAAGCGAAUCAAUAUCCAUCAUCAUACGCCCGAUACGCGUGUGCCAUACUGCCAUGUACACAAAAAAUGUUCAGCUAUUUUGGUCAACUCGAUUAAUCAGAAGAAGCAAAAAAUGUUUCAAACAUUUCAUCGCGGUUGAUCUGAUUACACAACUUGUAAAGGUCAUACUUCUGAGUGAGGCCUGAGGUGCUCUAUAACGCGGAGGAGAUGUUCAGGAUCUUUUACCAGAUGGUGGAGGUGGAACUGGCGGAAGAGAUCCUGACUCUCGAAGAAGAGGAAGAGAGGGCCAGGAAGACAGAGGAAAUCUAACUGACAACUGACGAGCCAUGAAAGUAAUGGGCGGCGGACUCCGGUCGGCUUAUCAAAGAAGACUUGUCAACAUAUAUAUUGUAUUCUUUAUUUGAAUUAUUAGUAUUCGUUUUUUUUUUUUUACUGGCGACGCUGACGAUAUAAUGCGCAAUUUGUUCCUGGCGUUCCGAGUUUCGACAGCAUCGUCCAUCGUCACUCGUCGAUACUCGAUAAUACGAAAAAAAGUCAGAUAAUUAGAGAUAAAAUAAGAUUAAGAGGAUGUGAUAUCCACAUGUGUUGUCUCCAGUGGCGUAAUUUGGC